AUUCAGUCGAAGAGUCCCGGAUAGAACGAAACGAUCGUCCUAAAU
rfam:Schistosoma margrebowiei strain Zambia genome assembly, scaffold: SMRZ_scaffold0000469